UGGCUCAGAUUGAACGCUGGCGGCAGGCCUAACACAUGCAAGUCGAGCGGCAGCACGGGUACUUGUACCUGGUGGCGAGCGGCGGACGGGUGAGUAAUGCCUAGGAAUCUGCCUAGUAGUGGGGGAUAACGUCCGGAAACGGGCGCUAAUACCGCAUACGUCCUACGGGAGAAAGUGGGGGAUCUUCGGACCUCACGCUAUUAGAUGAGCCUAGGUCGGAUUAGCUAGUUGGUGAGGUAAUGGCUCACCAAGGCGACGAUCCGUAACUGGUCUGAGAGGAUGAUCAGUCACACUGGAACUGAGACACGGUCCAGACUCCUACGGGAGGCAGCAGUGGGGAAUAUUGGACAAUGGGCGAAAGCCUGAUCCAGCCAUGCCGCGUGUGUGAAGAAGGUCUUCGGAUUGUAAAGCACUUUAAGUUGGGAGGAAGGGCAGUUACCUAAUACGUGAUUGUUU
rnacentral:rRNA from 1 species